GGACUACAAGGGUUUCUAAUCCUGUUCGAUACCCGCACCUUCGAGCCUCAGCGUCAGUUGCACUCCGGGCACUUGCCUUCGCGAUCGGAGUUCUUCAUGAUAUCUAAGCAUUUCACCGCUACACCAUGAAUUCCGGCACCCCUGCGUGCACUCAAGACUUCCAGUUUCAAUGGCGAGGUAUGGUUGAGCCACACGAUUUUACCACUGACUUGAAAGUCCGCCUACGCUCCCUUUAAACCCAAUAAAUCCGGAUAACGCCCGGACCUUCCGUAUUACCGCGGCUGCUGGCAC
rnacentral:misc_RNA from 1 species